rnacentral:rRNA from 1 species
AUUGAACGCUGGCGGCACGCCUAACACAUGCAAGUCGAGCGGCAGCGCGAUAUGUAGCAAUACAUAUUGGCGGCGAGCGGCGGACGGGUGAGGAACACGUAGGAACCUACCCUCGAGUGGGGGAUAACCAAGGGAAACUUUGGCUAAUACCGCAUGAUUUCGAGAGAGCAAAGCUGCCGCAAGGUGGCGCUCGAGGAGGGGCCGGCGUCCGAUUAGCUAGUUGGUGAGGUAAGAGCUCACCAAGGCGAUGAUCGGUAACUGGUCUGAGAGGACGACCAGUCACACAGGGAAUGAGACACGGCCCAGACUCCUACGGGAGGCAGCAGUGGGGAAUAUUGGACAAUGGGGGCAACCCUGAUCCAGCGAUGCCGCGUGAGUGAAGAAGGCCUUCGGGUCGUAAAGCUCUUUAGGUUGGGAAGAAGAGUGAUGGAGGAAAUGCUAUCACUUUGACGGUACCGACAGAAUAAGCACCGGCAAACUCUGUGCCAGCCGCCGCGGUAAUAC